rnacentral:rRNA from 1 species
AACGUAGGGGGCGAGCGUUAUCCGGAAUUACUGGGCGUAAAGGGCAUCUAGGCGGCUAUCUAAGUCCUGCGUGAAAAGCUCCCGGCUCAACUGGGAGAGCGCGUGGGAAACUGGGUAGCUAGAGACUCGGAGAGGGGUGUGGAAUUCCCGGUGGAGUGGUGAAAUGCGUUGAGAUCGGGAGGAACACCAGUGGCGAAGGCGGCACCCUGGACGAGGUCUGACGCUGAAGUGCGACAGCGUGGGGAGCGAACGGG